rnacentral:rRNA from 1 species
AACGAACGCUGGCGGCAGGCUUAACACAUGCAAGUCGAACGCCCCGCAAGGGGAGUGGCAGACGGGUGAGUAACGCGUGGGAAUCUACCUAGUUCUACGGAACAACACAGGGAAACUUGUGCUAAUACCGUAUACGCCCUACGGGGGAAAGAUUUAUCGGAAUUAGAUGAGCCCGCGUAAGAUUAGCUAGUUGGUGGGGUAAUGGCCUACCAAGGCGACGAUCUUUAGCUGGUCUGAGAGGAUGAUCAGCCACACUGGGACUGAGACACGGCCCAGACUCCUACGGGAGGCAGCAGUGGGGAAUAUUGGACAAUGGGCGAAAGCCUGAUACAGCCAUGCCGCGUGAGUGAUGAAGGCCUUAGGGUUGUAAAGCUCUUUCAGUAGGGAAGAUAAUGACGGUACCUACAGAAGAAGCCCCGGCUAACUUCGUGCCAGCCGCCGCCGUAACAC